GACGAAGGGGGCUAGCGUUGUUCGGAAUUACUGGGCGUAAAGCGCGUGUAGGUGGUUGUCCAUGUUGGAUGUGAAAGCCUUGAGCUCAACUCAAGAAAUGCAUUCAGGACUGGAUGGCUAGAGGACCGGAGAGGAUAGUGGAAUUCCCAGUGUAGUGGUGAAAUACGUAGAGAUUGGGAAGAACACCAGUGGCGAAGGCGGCUAUCUGGACGGUUUCUGACACUAAGACUCGAAAGCGUGGGGAGCAAACAGG
rnacentral:rRNA from 1 species